UCUCCCCCUCGUCUCUUCCCAUCCCCCUCCUCUUCCAUAUGCCACCGCCACCACUUCCCCUACCCUCUCGGACGCCUCGUCUCUUCCACCUCCGCCUCCAUCACCUCCUCCCCUGCCUCUGCACCCGACCACGCGCUAUGGACGAGGACGAGGAGGCAACAGCUCGGGAGGCAGGCAAGAGGAAAACGGGAGGGAUCCCCUCCCGAGCCCCGCACCUCCCCUCUUUCCCACUGCGCCGCCAGCCCCUUUCCCUCCCUUCGCCGCUGCUACAGCUCCUCCCUGAACCCGCGGCGCGCCUUCUUCUCCGACCGUUGUUGCCCGCACUGCUACUGCCGCGGCCUGCUACUGCUCCCCCUCCUCCAGCUCCUCGCCCCAGCGGCGCUUCCUCCCCUCCUCUCAGGCAAGGCGUCUUGGGGUGUGGAGGCGGUGGGGCAGCAGCCAGUCAUUGUCCUGCAGCGGCAGCAGCAGGUCGGCUUCCCCGUUGUGGCGGCGACGCGUCUAGAGGAACCGGUUGCCCUUCUCCUGGAUGAGCGUCGGAGCCGAACAGCCGGAACUGACCAUUGAGGAGCUGGGGCAGCCGUGCCACAUAGGAGGUCGAGGUGGACCAGGAGAAGCUGCACGAGGCUCCAUCGCCUCCUUCUCAAAUUUGGUUUCUCUAUGCCUACAUGGUGUUUGAUGAAAAUCCAAGAAGGACGGGGAGGAUUGAUCUAUGCGGAUAAGAGAAGAAAACUAAAACAUGUUCACUAGAGUGGCCUGGGGUGGCCCGGGAGCUACGAGGAUGGGUUGAUGAGACUGGAUUGGCAGCCGACAGCGAGAGAGGAAGGGUGGUUGUUCCUGCGAUGAGGUGGUGAUGAUUGCCAUAGUGGAAUUUUG